rnacentral:rRNA from 1 species
GCUAACGCGUGAAGGCGAGCACUCUAGACGAACUGCCGUUGACAAAACGGAGGAAGGUGGGAUGACGUCAAAUCAUCAUGCCCCUUAUGUUCUGGGCUACACACGUGCUACAAUGGCCGGCACAGACGGACGCAAAGCCGCGAGGUGGAGCAAAUCCUAAAAAGCCGGUCUCAGUUCGGAUUGCAGGCUGCAAUUCGCCUGCAUGAAGUCGGAAUCGCUAGUAAUCGCAGGUCAGCAUACUGCGGUGAAUACGUUCCCGGGCCUU